rnacentral:rRNA from 1 species
UACGAGCUGUGCGAACGUUACUCGGAAUCACUGGGCUUAAAGGGUGCGUAGGCGGCGCCGCAAGUCGGAUGUGAAAUCCCCCAGCUUAACUGAGGAAUUGCGUUCGAUACUGCGGUGCUCGAGGGAGAUAGAGGCAAGCGGAACUCAGGGUGGAGCGGUGAAAUGUGUUGAUAUCCUGGGGAACACCGGUGGCGAAAGCGGCUUGCUGGGUCUCUUCUGACGCUGAGGCACGAAAGCUAGGGGAGCGAACGGG